ACGAACGCUGGCGGCAUGCCUAAUACAUGCAAGUCGAGCGGUGCAGCAAUGCAUAGCGGCGGACGGGUGAGUAACGCGUGGGCAACCUGCCUCAAAGGUUGGGAUAACACCCCGAAAGGGGUGCUAAUACCGAGUGUGCUCUAGGUGCCGCAUGGCAUAUAGAGGAUAGGAGAAAUCCGUUUUUGAGAUGGGCCCGCGUCUGAUUAGCUAGUUGGUAGGUAACGGCCUACCAAGGCGACGAUCAGUAGCCG
rnacentral:rRNA from 1 species